GGCGGGGUUCCCGGGGGAGGGGGCGGGCUGCCAGGCAUGGCCUAGGGUGCAUGGGUCUCCGCGCCCCCUGCCUGCUCAACUUUCCCCUCCAAUUCCCUGCUUCCCUUUGAUGUCCCGCAAGUGAGGACGCGCCUCGUGGGUCGCUGCGGGGAGGAAAGAGUAGAUGGGAGACCAAGGCGGAGAAGAGCACCAGCUCCGCUGCUCCUCUUGUCUGCAGCACGCUCAACCCCGAGCGAGUCUCAGCUUCCGCUCAGUCUCGGCUUCCAAGCUUGCCAAAGUGUCCGAAAACGCGCAGAGCGCUCGGAACCUGUCCCGCAGCUGUGCGACGCGCGUCUCGAGCUGGCCGCAGCCGCCCCGCCCUCGCGCGCCUCAGCCCCGCGGGCGGGGAUGCCGGCUCCACGGCCUCUCUACCGGGACCCCGCUCCAGGCCCGGGCGUGCUCCGGCUCGAGGUGGAAGGCACACCCGGGUAGUGGAUUUAGCAAACACACCUUUGUGAGUACACACGACACGGGCGCGCGCGCACACACCCUACAGGCGCGCGCGCACAGUCCAGCCGGCUGCAGACAGCGCGCCCCGGCCGCUCGGCGGCGGAUGGUGGCUGGGAGCGCACUCGGUGCACCUUUUGAGUCCACGGCCAGCCUCGACCCCGGGCUGCGGGGAGCCCUGGCGCUCGGGACGCACGCCGGGCUCUCUACCGCCGUGGCGGCGCCCUACCGCCCCAUCCUCCUGGGGUAA
rnacentral:lncRNA from 1 species